rnacentral:rRNA from 1 species
GAUGCCUUGGCGUCAUAUGGCGAUGAAGGACGCAGCAAGCUGCGAUAAGCCUCGGGGAGCGGCAAACACGCUUUGAUCCGGGGAUUUCCGAAUGGGGCAACCCAAUGGAGUGAACCUCCAUUGACUCUUUCUGAAUGCAUAGGAAAGUAGUCGGUAACCUGGUGAAGUGAAACAUCUCAGUAGCCAGAGGAAUAGAAAUCAAACGAGACUCCGCAAGUAGUGGCGAGCGAACGCGGAUCAGCCCAAACCGAUUGUCUCCGGAUGAUCGGGGUUGUGGGAUGACAAU